CUUCUCUGCUUGCUGUUGUGUUGACUCAUCCCAGCAACUCCACAAAGACCAGAUGGCUUCUGCAUCAUCAUUUCUGAUGCCAAGCCUCUGCAGCUGCCUGAUUUGAAACCCUCUACAAGGAAAGACUAUUUCAAGAAACCUUUAGGUGCCAAAUCAAGUAAAAUGUCACAGACUUCAGGUUCAGUACAGCAGCACUUCUGAAACAUCAGUGUGCUCACAAAUCACCUGGAGGAACUUGUUAAAAUGCAGAUCAAAUUCAGCAGGUCUGGGGCGGAAUCUGAGUUUCUGCCUUUUUAACAAGCUCCUUGGUGAUGUCAAUGCUGCUGAUCCUCAGACUAUAUCUUGAGUAGUUAGGAAAUGAGACUUCACAUUUCCUGAAACCACACACCGUCUGCUGUAUUCCCGCAUUCCCAGCACCUAGCAUAGUAGAAAGCAAACAGAUG